CAUACACCCCAGGAAAUGUUCUAAAUAAGAAAAUAAAAACACCUUUCCUCCGGUGAAGACGCUGCUAGAAAGCAUCAAGGACUGGUAUGGAAAUAUCCUCUGAGGGAUAGGAAUUUAAAUAACAUUGAAUAACAAAUAUUAAAAUAGUGUGUGUCCAUUAGGUUGAAAGCUUUGAGAGAACAACUAUGGAAAACUUUUAAGCCGCGUUGACACUGCGAGCUCCUCAAGAUACCUCCGAUUGGUUUUAAGAGAGGGAUAGAUCAAUUUGAAUCUGACCCUGGUGGUCAGUGGCGAGCCAACCGCAGAAGUCAGAGAACGGACCAAGAGCCUGGUGUGGCCAGCCGUGGCAUCUUUGGAACCAUCAUCAUCCCGUGCCUCCAUUUGAAAAAACAGAUAAGAACACACAUAAACCUACCCGGGUAGUGAAAAGAACAUACCGUACAUACUCCAAGAAAACCACACACACACACACACACCAAGAACUUUCAUGGACUCUUUCUUUGUUUGAGUUUGUUUAUUUUGGGGUUUUUAUUGUGCGCUUGUGCACUCAGGAAGCCGGCUUAGGUAGGCAGGGAAUGUAUGUAAUUGUCUUUAAUUUUGUAUAAUACAUUUCUCAAACUUA